AUUGAACGCUGGCGGCAGGCCUAACACAUGCAAGUCGAGCGGAGCGGCGGACGGGUGAGUAAUGCCUAGGUAUCUGCCUGGCCGUGGGGGAUAACGUCCGGAAACGGGCGCUAAUACCGCAUACUAUCAGAUGAGCCUAGGUCGGAUUAGCUAGUGGGUGGGGUAAGGGCCUACCAAGGCGACGAUCCGUACCUGGUCUGAGAGGAUGAUCAGCCACACUGGAACUGAGACACGGUCCAGACUCCUACGGGAGGCAGCAGUGGGGAAUAUUUGACAAUGGGCGAAAGCCUGAUGCAGCCAUGCCGCGUGUGUGAAGAAGGUCUUCGGGUUGUAAAGCACUUUAAGUUGGGAGGCGUUACCCGCAGAAGAAGCACCGGCUAACUCCGUGCCAGCAGCCGCGGUAAUAC
rnacentral:rRNA from 1 species